GGGUGAGACCUGAUGCCGAGCCGAUUGUGGUGAAGUGGAUGAUCCUAUGCUGUCGAGAAAAGCCUCUAGCGAUGUUUCAUGGCGGCCCGUACCCUAAACCGACUCAGGUGGUCAGGUAGAGUAUACCGAGGCGUUCGGGUGAACUAUGGUUAAGGAACUCGGCAAAAUGCCCCCGUAACUUCGGGAGAAGGGGGGCCGCUUCCGGUGAUCCGUUUUACACGGGGAGCUGGGGGUGGCCGCAGAGACCAGCGAGAAGCGACUGUUUACUAAAAACACAGGUCCGUGCGAAGCUGUAAGGCGAUGUAUACGGACUGACGCCUGCCCGGUGCUGGAACGUUAAGGGGACCGGUUAGUCACUCUUCGGGGUGGCGAAGCUGAGAACUUAAGCGCCAGUAAACGGCGGUGGUAACUAUAACCAUCCUAAGGUAGCGAAAUUCCUUGUCGGGUAAGUUCCGACCUGCACGAAUGGCGUAACGACUUCUCGACUGUCUCAACCAUAGGCCCGGUGAAAUUGCAUUACGAGUAAAGAUGCUCGUUUCGCGCAGCAGGACGGAAAGACCCCGGGACCUUUACUAUAGCUUGAUAUUGGUGUUCGGUUCGGCUUGUGUAGGAUAGGUGGGAGACUGUGAAGCGGCCACGCCAGUGGUUGUGGAGUCGUCGUUGAAAUACCACUCUGGUCGUGUUGGAUGUCUAACCUGGGUCCGUGAUCCGGAUCGGGGACAGUGUCUGGUGGGUAGUUUAACUGGGGCGGUUGCCUCCUAAAGAGUAACGGAGGCGCCCAAAGGUUCCCUCAGCCUGGUUGGUCAUCAGGUGGUGAGUGUAAGUGCACAAGGGAGCUUGACUGCGAGACUGACGGGUCGAGCAGGUGCGAAAGCAGGGACUAGUGAUCCGGCGGUGGCUUGUGGGAGCGCCGUCGCUCAACGGAUAAAAGGUACCCCGGGGAUAACAGGCUGAUCUUCCCCAAGAGUCCAUAUCGACGGGAUGGUUUGGCACCUCGAUGUCGGCUCGUCGCAUCCUGGGGCUGGAGUCGGUCCCAAGGG
rnacentral:rRNA from 1 species